rnacentral:rRNA from 1 species
AACGAACGCUGGCGGCAGGCUUAACACAUGCAAGUCGAACGCCCCGCAAGGGGAGUGGCAGACGGGUGAGUAACGCGUGGGAAUCUACCCAGUUCUACGGAACAACUGAGGGAAACUUCAGCUAAUACCGUAUACGCCCUACGGGGGAAAGAUUUAUCGGAAUUGGAUGAGCCCGCGUUGGAUUAGCUAGUUGGUGAGGUAAUGGCUCACCAAGGCGACGAUCCAUAGCUGGUCUGAGAGGAUGAUCAGCCACACUGGGACUGAGACACGGCCCAGACUCCUACGGGAGGCAGCAGUGGGGAAUAUUGGACAAUGGGCGCAAGCCUGAUCCAGCCAUGCCGCGUGAGUGAUGAAGGCCUUAGGGUUGUAAAGCUCUUUCAGUGGGGACGAUAAUGACGGUACCCACAGAAGAAGCCCCGGCUAACUUCGUGCCAGCCGCCGCGGUAAGAC